rnacentral:rRNA from 1 species
CUACGGGAGGCAGCAGUAGGGAAUCUUCCGCAAUGGACGAAAGUCUGACGGAGCAACGCCGCGUGAGUGAUGAAGGUUUUCGGAUCGUAAAGCUCUGUUGUUAGGGAAGAACAAGUGCGAGAGUAACUGCUCGCACCUUGACGGUACCUAACCAGAAAGCCACGGCUAACUACGUGCCAGCAGCCGCGGUAAUACGUAGGUGGCAAGCGUUGUCCGGAAUUAUUGGGCGUAAAGGGCUCGCAGGCGGUUUCUUAAGUCUGAUGUGAAAGCCCCCGGCUCAACCGGGGAGGGUCAUUGGAAACUGGGAAACUUGAGUGCAGAAGAGGAGAGUGGAAUUCCACGUGUAGCGGUGAAAUGCGUAGAGAUGUGGAGGAACACCAGUGGCGAAGGCGACUCUCUGGUCUGUAACUGACGCUGAGGAGCGAAAGCGUGGGGAGCGAACAGGAUUAGAUACCCUGGUAGUCCACGCCGUAAACGAUGAGUGCUAAGUGUUAGGGGGUUUCCGCCCCUUAGUGCUGCAGCUAACGCAUUAAGCACUCCGCCUGGGGAGUACGGUCGCAAGACUGAAACUCAAAGGAAUUGACG